rnacentral:piRNA from 2 species
UCCAGGAGUCUGUCCUUGGUCAUGGUCAUC